GAAAAAGAUGUCACCGGUAACCGUGCACUCGCAUCGGGAUUUCACGUAUCUUACGGCACAACCUCCGGUCCAGGACUGAUGCACCACGGCUACAACGCGCACGGACCCUAGUCACGGCUACCACAAGAAAGAGAAAGAGAGAAUCGUGACGCGCGAUGCUCGGUCAGGCGCCAUUUACAGAAACGCACGCAUCGCCACUAGUUCUCUCUAACUCUAUGUCUGUCUCGCUCUUACUACUUUCAUUUCCCCCACUUAUCUACUCGCAACGUACCUCCCUCUCUUUACCCUAGUUCCGUCCUUUUCUAUCUUAUUCUUUCUUCCCCCCCUCUGACGUAUCUAUCCGACCUAUCCCAAUUACAGCGAACGUCCUUGAGGUGACUAACACCUUGUCGUCCACUGCUUGUGGGAACGAAGAGGGAUGCAUGAAAGCGCUGCUGAAGAGGUGGAAAAGAUGAUAGUAGUGGAAAUGAUGGAGGUGGUGAAGAAGGAAAAAGGAGAAGUUGGAGAACAAAGACAGAAAGAAAAGAGCGGCGAAUGCCGCAUGUAACGCUUAGUCUUUCUUGAAGCUGUAAGUAAAAGGAGAGGGAGUAGGAUGAACCAUGCUUCUUAAGUGUCCGUACGUGAGAACGAGGAGGUUAUUCACUGUUCUACGGAAAUGUUCGAGCAUGAUGAUGUUGCCACAGUAAUGUGCCUUUUAUAAUCUCCGAUAGUUAUACGAAUUCAUUCGUAAUUCAUUUAUGACAUAAAAAAAAAAUAAUGUAAAUUAUCUAUAAGACAAUAAAUACUACAGUUUUUUCAAUUAUUUAUUUUAUAUACUUUUAAUGAUUAUGAUUUACGCUUAAAUAACAUUGAAUUAUUUAAUAAUUGAUUUUUAUUAAAAAUACCUUUCCCUUUUUCUGAGAAUUAUUAGUUAAACUUGUAAUGCGCACCCCUAAAUAAUAAUUGUAGCAUUGUUAUAUAUAUAUUUUUUUUUUUUUAAAUACGAAACAAGCGAAUGUAUUAAUAAAAUUUCAUUUGUCAAGCGAUACAUUACCAUAUUUACAUUGUAUCUACAUCAUCUAACAUUUUAUUACGUUAUAUUCGUUUAAUAAUGUGAUUAAGAUAGUUUGUGGAAGGACUGUGCAGUAAUAAUACACGCGAAAAUAGCGAUAAUAAUGUAUGCCUAUCGUUACAACAUACUUUGCUUCUACGAUUUCCGCCGUAUCUUAUCCCGCAAUUGUAUUUUACUCAAAUGAGAUAAAUGCGAUACAUUACUGUAAUGCCGAUUGAUUAUUAUUACAAGAGUCGUAGUGUUCGGAAUCGACUAUUUAUUGCUCCUAGGAAUUUAUGUUUCUCUGGAGAUUCUUAAUACUGACUUUUCUCCGAAAAAUCACAGAAUUUAAUUUCAUUCUUUUGUCUUUUUCUUUUUUUUUUUUUUUUUCGUUUGUUUAAAUAUUCGUAAAUACUUGAUUCAUGUAAUUGUUCCUCGAAAAACAUUUGAAUUAAUUUACCAGUAACCACUGGAUAGAUCGAAUGACAAUCGAAUAUUUUCAAUAAAUUUUUUUUCUUUUCUUUUAGAUCAUAUCAUACGAUUUUACUAUUUCAUUUUUGUCUUCCAAACAAGCGACGCACGAACCUCCCGGACGUUUCAUCGAAUAAGCGCAAAUUCACACACAUAUUAAUUCUACUUUCGAAGAAAUUUUUUUUUUUUUUCUUUUCAUUUUAUACGAGGUACGCACAACAACAUUCGAGCAACGUGCAUGAGUCAGCGACGCGCGCUCAACCGAAUACGCACGUUAAAAAAAAAGAAAGAAAAAAAAAA